ensembl:snRNA U1 U1 spliceosomal RNA
GUUCUCUUCAGGGGAGAUACCAUGAUCACGAAGGUAGUUUUCCCAGGGUGAGGCUCAUCCGUUGCACUGCGGGUGUGCUGACCCUUGCGAUUUCCCCAAAUGCUGGAAACUCGACUGCAUAAUUUGUGGUAGUGGGAGACUGUGUUCGUGCUCUCCCCUG